rnacentral:rRNA from 1 species
AACGAACGCUGGCGGCAGGCUUAACACAUGCAAGUCGAACGCCCGUAGCAAUACGGGAGUGGCGGACGGGUGAGUAACGCGUGGGAACGUGCCCUGAGGUACGGAAUAACUGCGGGAAACUGCAGCUAAUACCGUAUGAGCCCCGCAAGGGGGAAAGAUUUAUCGCCUUAGGAGCGGCCCGCGUCGGAUUAGCUAGUUGGUGGGGUAACGGCUUACCAAGGCAUCCAUCCGUAGCUGGUCUGAGAGGACGAGCAGCCACACUGUGACUGAGACACGGCCCUGACUCCUACGGGAGGCAGCAGUGUGGAAUCUUGGACAAUGGGGUAAACCCUGAUCCGGCCAUGCCGCGUGAUCGAUAAAGGCCUUAGGGUUGUAAAGAUCUUGCAGCUGGGAAGAUAAUGACGGUACCAGCAGAAGAAGCCCCGGCUAACUCCGUGCCAGCCGCCGCCGUAAGAC